CGGUAGUUCAGUUGGUUAGAAUACCGGCCUGUCACGCCGGGGGUCGCGGGUUCGAGUCCCGUCCGCUCCGCCA
rnacentral:tRNA from 2 species